AGGGAAAGGCGAAAAGAACCCCGGCGAGGGGAGUGAAAAAGAACCUGAAACCGUGUACGUACAAGCAGUGGGAGCACAGGUUUACCUGUGUGACUGCGUACCUUUUGUAUAAUGGGUCAGCGACUUAUAUUCUGUAGCAAGGUUAACCGUAUAGGGGAGCCGUAGGGAAACCGAGUCUUAACCGGGCGUUAAGUUGCAGGGUAUAGACCCGAAACCCGGUGAUCUAGCCAUGGGCAGGUU
rnacentral:rRNA from 2 species